rnacentral:piRNA from 1 species
UGAUUUCUUCAGUUUUGCACUCCAUGGAU